GAGGUGCCAUUAAACUGGUAGUCUAUGUCAGUGCGGGAAUUGUUCAGGAACACCACUCUGGAGGGCAGCCCCUGUUUCCUGCGAUUUCCAUCCGCCUCGACAGAAUAGCUGAUGGCUACAGUGGAAAGGAAAGCACAUUCCAAACAUCGAGUCUUUGGUCCCGUUUAGACGGACGGGAGUGGUCCUUUCCCACCUUCCUGCCUGGUUGAUGUAGACAUAAACAGCUCCUCCAAUGUCUCUGUCUUUCAUGAAGAACUGAGGGGCUCCUACAACUAUGUCUUGCCAUCUACAUCAAAGUUGGGGGGUCAACUACAGCCACGUCGUAUCCAAAGGAGGAAGCAAGUCCUGGACCGUGCAGAGUGUGCUCCACCAAAAGUCUGCCGGAGGCUUCGCUGUCUUUCUUUAACAGGACCACAGCUCCACUAUGACGGGCUCUGGGUGCUCCGGCCACCACCGUCAGGUCACGACUCCUGGUGAUGCUGUGUCCCGAAUCAAGGGAGAAUCCUAAAGUGUGAGAGAUGAUAUGGGACAUAAAUAUAUUAAUUUACAAUGAAGAGCAGGUUAUUUUUUCUCCCGAAUUUGGAAUAGCGAGUUCCCCUGUUCUGCUGUUUCAUUGCUGGCCUGGUGAGGGUGUAGGGAACCAUAUUUCACAGAGACAGCUUAACACCUGCACAGAUUCACAAUGCCAUCCCACCUAUGCAGUUGCCCUGACCAACCAGUAGGAGUCGCUAGUGCAGCAAGAUAUCUCAGCUUCUAAUCUACAAAAACUGCCAAUUAUGUUAACUGCAGCGGUCCCCAAACUUUUUUUCUCAUGCCGAUCUUUAGCAGCCAAAAGAAAAUGUAAUCAACUGGUAACAAUACUGGGAAAACUAAGAUGAAUAUAAAAAAAAAAAAAAGAAUCAAAAACCUGAACUGCAUUUUCCCUUUCAAGCAUGUUUCUCAUUGCUUUCAGAAGAGCAAAUGAAAAAUCUUUUCACACAAGUUUUUACACACAAGACACAAGGCUCAAGCAUGAGAUGGGCUUCAUCAUAUUUUUCAUUUGACUGUUGGAUUUGCUUGAGAAGCAUCACUGUUUUUUGUUCCUUCCCAGUCAAAAAUGUGUUCACCUUGUACUUUUACAUGUCGUUAUCCUUUCUAAAUAUAUGCUGCUAACCUGAA